UACGGAGGGGGCUAGCGUUGUUCGGAAUUACUGGGCGUAAAGCGCACGUAGGCGGUGUGUCGCGUCGGCCGUGAAAACCUGCAGCUUAACUGUGGGCUUGCGGUCGAUACGGGCAUCACUGGAGUUCGGCAGGGGAGACUGGAAUUCCUGGUGUAGCGGUGAAAUGCGCAGAUAUCAGGAGGAACACCGGUGGCGAAGGCGGGUCUCUGGGCCGAUACUGACGCUGAGGAGCGAAAGCGUGGGGAGCGAACAGG
rnacentral:rRNA from 1 species